rnacentral:rRNA from 1 species
GAGUUUGAUCCUGGCUCAGGACCAACGCUGGCUGCGUGCUUAACACAUGCAAGUCGAACGGUAAGGCCCCAGCUUGCUGGGGUACACGAGUGGCGAACGGGUGAGUAACACGUGGGUGACCUGCCCCGCACUUCGGGAUAAGCCUGGGAAACUGGGUCUAAUACCGGAUAGGACCGCACCGUGAGGGUGUGGUGGAAAGUUUUUCGGUGUGGGAUGGGCCCGCGGCCUAUCAGCUUGUUGGUGGGGUAAUGGCCUACCAAGGCGGCGACGGGUAGCCGGCCUGAGAGGGUGGACGGCCACAUUGGGACUGAGACACGGCCCAGACUCCUACGGGAGGCAGCAGUGGGGAAUAUUGCACAAUGGGCGGAAGCCUGAUGCAGCGACGCCGCGUGGGGGAUGACGGCCUUCGGGUUGUAAACUCCUUUCACCAUCGACGAAGGUUUUCUGACGGUAGAUGGAGAAGAAGCACCGGCUAACUACGUGCCAGCAGCCGCGGUAAUACGUAGGGUGCGAGCGUUGUCCGGAAUUACUGGGCGUAAAGAGCUCGUANGUGGUUUGUCGCGUCGUCUGUGAAAUUCCGGGGCUUAACUCCGGGCGUGCAGGCGAUACGGGCAUAACUUGAGUACUGUAGGGGAGACUGGAAUUCCUGCUGUACCGGUGAAAUGCGCAGAUAUCAGGAGGCACACCGGUGGCGAAGGCGGGUCUCUGGGCAGUAACUGACGCUGAGGAGCGAAAGCAUGGUAGCGCACAGGAUUAGAUACCCUGGUAGUCCAUGCCGUANACGGUGGGCGCUAGGUGUAGGGGUCUUCCACGACUUCUGUGCCGUAGCUAACGCAUUAAGCGCCCCGCCUGGGGAGUACGGCCGCAAGGCUAAAACUCAAAGGAAUUGACGGGGGCCCGCACAAGCGGCGGAGCAUGUGGAUUAAUUCGAUGCAACGCGAAGAACCUUACCUGGGCUUGACAUAUACGGGACCGGGCCAGAGAUGGUCCUUCCCUUGUGGCUCGUAUACAGGUGGUGCAUGGUUGUCGUCAGCUCGUGUCGUGAGAUGUUGGGUUAAGUCCCGCAACGAGCGCAACCCUUGUCUUAUGUUGCCAGCACGUAAUGGUGGGGACUCGUGAGAAACUGCCGGGGUCAACUCGGAGGAAGGUGGGGAUGACGUCAAAUCAUCAUGCCCCUUAUGUCCAGGGCUUCACACAUGCUACAAUGGUCGGUACAGUGGGUUGCGAUGCCGUGAGGUGGAGCUAAUCCCUGAAAGCCGGUCUCAGUUCGGAUCGGGGUCUGAAACUCGACCGGGUGAAGUCGGAGUCGCUAGUAAUCGCAGAUCAGCAACGCUGCGGUGAAUACGUUC